CCUACGGGUGACAGCAGUGAGGAAUAUUGGUCAAUGGGCGAGAGCCUGAACCAGCCAAGUCGCGUGAGGGAGUACUGCCCUAUGGGUUGUAAACCUCUUUUGUCGGGGAGCAAAAGCCGGACGUGUCCGGCUGUGAGAGUACCCGAAGAAAAAGAAGCGGCUAACUCCGGGCCAGCAGCCGCGGUAAUACGGUGGAUGCGAGCGUUAUCCGGAUUUAUUGGGGUUAAAGGGUGCGGAGGCGGUUUUUUAAGGUAGGGGUUAAACGUCGGGGCUUCACCUUGAUUUGCCAUUAAUACUGUAAGACUCGAGUUCAGACGAGGUAGGCGGAAUCAGUUCCGUAGCGGUGAAAUGCUUAGAUAUCACUUAGAACUCCGAUCGCGAAGGCAGCUUACCAGACUGCGACUGACGCUGACGCACGAGAGCGUGGGUAGCGAACAGGAUUAGAUACCCCGGUAGUC
rnacentral:rRNA from 1 species